UUUUUUUUUUUUUUAAUUCUUUUUUUUUUUUUUUUUUUUUUAAUUCUUUGAUUUGUCAAAGCUAUUAAAUUUUAAUUCGUAAUCAUGUUUAUAUCAAAGUUACACAAUAUUCUUUUAAAAAAAAAGGUUACAAAAUAUACUUUUUUUUUUUUUAAAGAAUCAAAUGAAAUACUUUUAAAAACGAAGAAAUAGAAUUAGCUAAGAUUGUUAAUAGAUUAGGAAACUUCCUCUAUCCAAAUUAGCUCUUCAGCACUAAGAGUAGAGCUUUUUUGCAAGGGCAUAGCCACUUGAUUUUCUAUUGUAUAAACAUAAGAGCAACUGAAAAAAUGAAAAAGAGCUUGCCACCAUCUUCACUCUUAGCAACUUUGUAUCCAAUUCUAUUGAUGGCAUCUCAUUCCUUUGCAGCCUCUAAAUCAGAGAUAAGCAAUCUCAAGUAGAAUGUGAGAGAAUCCCAACUCCAUACAUCUGUUUAGCGCAAAAGGAGCAGCUCAGCUUCUGCCUCCUCAGGAUUAAGAGCCAAGUGUCGCGAUGUCCAAGCUGGCCAGUGCAUGAAAAAUGCCACACAUUUGCUGACGUCAUGUACCGUCUAAAAAAAAUCUGAAGAAGAUGCUUCGAAAUUGCAGAAAAUUUAAAGCAGGUGCUUCUAAAUUUCUAGUGAUGCUUCCCUGUACAUUUCAUAGGACAAAAAAAGUCAUUCUUGACAUCCAAGAAAAUUUCAUUUUCAUCAAGAAAAAAAAGGGUCCACAGAAAGGAGAAAGUCCAAGAAAGUUGGCUACCAUCAUCCAAUGCACCGUACUCCAAAAUGCCACAUCUUUGCUUACGCAAUCCACCGUCCAUAAUUUUUCUGUAACGCCUAAUCUCAUGUUUAAUGCAUGAUUAAUGCACAUAAACACCAUAAAAAGCAGUUUCUUGGAAAUCAAGCAAAAAGAGAGUCAACUCUCUUUGAAUUCUAAAAUCUUGGCCAAGUUCACAUUAUAUAUAGAGAGUUGAGGAAGCCUGUAGAAGUAAUCAUCUUCAUUUCCACCAACGCUAUCUUGAGUUUCAGACAAGUGAGUUUCUUUUAUAUAUUUGAUUUGAUUUCUUGGAGAUAUGGCAACAGGAGCUGCUUUUGGAGGGUCUACUUUAGCAGAAGCUUACACCAUGAGAAAGCUUCAUCAAGAAAAAAUGAAGAAA